GGAUCAACGAUGAACUUGUACAGCCCUUGGACGAUUAACAGACAAUAUUGAAGUUGAGGCAAACAAAGUCAAGAAAAGGAAGGAAGACAGGAAGGAUGAUCUUUAGCAUGGAACUGACCAAAUCAAACAGAGAAAAGGAAACAGAAUGGUAACACAGUAUACCCAAUGUGAGUCCAUGGAGAGAGAAGAGGACUAUUCUUCUGCAAGUAGAGGAAUUUAUAGUUUCCACUGGUUGGGUAUCCUAGCUAGUUCCCCAUUUAGUUUUGGGCUUAUUUGAGUUGUAUGUAUGUACAUAUCUGAAGGGCUGGCCUUGCGCAGCGGUGAAGUUGCUCCAUUGUGACCUAGAGGUCACGGGUUCGAGUCGCGGAAACAGCCUCUCCGCUUGCAGGGGUAAGGCUAUGUACAUCAACCCUUCCCCAGAUCCCGCAAUAGCGGGAGCCUCGUGCACCGGGUUUGCCCCUUUAUGUAUGUACAUAUCUCGUUACCAGCAGAGAAGGUUAAUAGCAAAGCAAGGUACUUAAAAUGGACAUAGUCAAUGAUUGCCCCAGAACUGUUUUGCAUUUGGGAUUCAAUGGCAAAGAAAACAUUGACGUAAGUUUGUUGUAUUAGAAAUUAAAUAAGAAGACAUUUCUUCUUACUUCCUCUAAUUCUUUCCUUUUUACUUUGUUGCUCUCAAGUUGGGUAGAAUAAGUGAUUAAGACCGAAUGUAACAGUAAUUUUUUUGGUGCAAUGUCACAGAUAUAAUUGAGUAGAAAUAUUUUCUCUAUGGUAGAUAUAUCCUCUCCAGUAACUAUCUUGGAUAGUUGCCAGAGCUCCCUCACAUUUAUGGACUCAAAUAUCAAAUAGUUUAAUGGUAAGUAUCCUUUGGGCGGUGACAAAAUUGUUGGACUGUCUGGGACAAUGACCGGAGAGAAUCAGGUCCUUUCUCUAUGUGCCCCUGAGAUUUGUCACUAGUUUGUAUGGCCACGUGGUAUAACCGGGAAUGCGAAUGAUGGGUAGACGAAAAUUCAAGCCUUUUUUUGCAGUGCCUUCCAAACUUUGCCUGCCUUUUGCAUAGAUGCUUUACCCCUGCUUUGCAACGUUCUUGUUUCUUUUUUGUCACCUAGCAUUGGAAGUAUGUAUUAUGGUUUUUGGUGUUAGGUACCAUCAAAUUUAGUGAACCUUUUAAAAACUUUUCUGGUUUGUAUUGAAUAAAGGAUUCACAACACUA